UCCCUUUAAUCAGGAUUAGGGUUUUUAAACCCUAAACUGAACUUUUCCCUUUAAUCAGGAUUAGGGUUUUAAACCCUAAACUGAACUUUUCCCUUUAGUCAGCAUUAGGGUUUUAAACCCUAAACUGAACUUUUCCCUUUAGUCAGCAUUAGGGUCUUAAACCCUAAACUGAACUUUUUCCAUUUAGUCAGCAGUAGGGUUUUAAACCCUAAACUAAACUCUUUCCAUUUAGUCAGCAUUAGGGUUUUAAACCCUAAACUGAACUCUUCCCUUUAGUCAGCAUUAGGGCCCCA
rnacentral:lncRNA from 1 species